rnacentral:lncRNA from 1 species
CGAGGGGAUACAGCUGGCAUGAGAUAGCGAGCGAGUGUGCGUGCACGUGCGCGCGUCUCGGGGGAGUUAUGUGGCAUCGUGUAUGUGUGUGUGUGCGAGAGAGAGAGAGGAAGGAGAGAGAGAGCGCGCGCGCGUUAGGGAACGUGCAGAGAGAAACAUCUACAGGCUAUUCUUAGCUGCAGACAUUUGGAAAUUAAUGGACAGAGUUCUCCCUCCCCCGUCUCUCGCUCUUCCACCCCCGUUCCUCACUCUCUCUGGAUCCGAGCCGAUGCUAGUGCUCUUCCCUCUCGCCCUCUCCCUUCAGUCCGGCAUGCAUGUCACUAAUGCUCAAGGUACGGCCGUCCCUAAUGUCCCUCGUCCAUUGCCAUUGCCGGGCAUUCUGAAAUCAAAUGCACAACUCAGGCUACAUGAUGUGUAAAUGAAAUUGAGUCUAUAUAUGCCUAAAAAGACCCUGUGACUAUAUGAAUGAUAUGAAUAUGGAUUUGUGGUUUCUACUGCUCUUCGUGUUGGGUUGGUGCUGCUCUUUUUGAGAACAGAACGGAAGUGGCGUAGCAGCCCUCCAAACCUCGGUCCAGUGUGAUCUAUUAUAGGUUUUAAUUGAUUGCCGCCCGAAAUAGCCGCCGCUUUGAAUGGUAAAUGAUCAAGAGGACAUGGACUUAAGGGCGACCUGCGAAUUAGUCCAUAUCUGCAGUCAUCAUCUGGUCAAUGUAUAAACUUGAUGGUGAGACAACGUUCUUGUGGGAGAAAGAAGACGACCUAUAUUGGCGCGACAUUAACUGUUAUCGCUUAUCGGGUAUCACAUGAAGCGUGGAUCAAUGUUUUCUUCAGAUGUGCCUUCAGCGGUGAGAGACCCACUGUCAGGAUCUAGGUCUAACAAGGUUGUCUCUAUACACUGUACACUGUCAUUCUUUUGGUGGAAACCCUUUACUUGAACCAUUCGAGUAACCCAACUCAAAGUAUUGCAGUGUUCAAUACUUAUAGUAAUAAAGUGACAUCACCACCCAUAUGGUUAUCUUUUAAAGUUGUAAAUACUUAACUGUUUUGUGUUCUAUUAACUUAUUUGCGUUAUGUAUUCUGAACUAUAACGAUUGAAGUUACUUGAAUAUGAAUAUUUGUUGUAGUGAACAUAACAAUUUAGGGUCCCUUCUACUUAAAUUAUCAACAUUCAUUAGUAAUUGUUUUCAAGUGUUCUGAUUAGUCCUUUUCAGUGGUCGUGUCUUAAUGUUUAACAUUGUUUUAUGUAUUUGAUGAUUUGUCAUUAUAAUCCACCUUACCAGUCAUUGUUGAGCACAGUGCUCAUCCCUCUAGCAGUAACUGGAGGUAGAGCUGUAACCAGUCAUUGUUGAGCACAGUGCUCAUCCCUCUAGCAGUAACUGGAGGUAGAGCUGUAACCAGUCAUUGUUGACCACAGUGCUCAUUCCUCUAGCAGUAACUGGAGGUAGAGCUGUAACCAGUCAUUGUUGACCACAGUGCUCAUUCCUCUAGCAGUAACUGGAGGUAGAGCUGUAACCAGUCAUUGUUGACCACAGUGCUCAUUCCUCUAGCAGUAACUGGAGGUAGAGCUGUAACCAGUCAUUGUUGAGCACAGUGCUCGUCCCUCUAGCUGUAACUGGAGGUAGAGCUGUAACCAGUCAUUGUUGAGCACAGUGCUCAUCCCUCUAGCAGUAACUGGAGGUAGAGAUGUAACCAGUCAUUGUUGACCACAGUGCUCAUCCCUCUAGCAGUAACUGUAGGCAGAGAUGUAACCAGUCAUUGUUGAGCACAGUGCUCGUUCCUCUAGCAGUAACUGGAGGUAGAGCUGUAACCAGUCAUUGUUGACCUCAGUGCUCAUCCCUCUAGCAGUAACUGGAGGUAGAGCUGUACGCAUUACAUUGUGCUGCAUUAGUGGUGGUGGUGCACAUUACCUUCUUGAUGGUGGGAAUGGCUUGUCUCAUUAUCUAACUGUAUUUAGCAGAUUUGAUAUCCGUUCAUCAUGAUCAAUUACACCUAAAACUGCUUAAUACUAUUUUAGAAAUAUACUUUUCUUUCUUCAAUCAAGCCAUGUGGCACUAUUACAUAUUCGUAACUUGCAAAAAUGUAAUAAUUCUAUAUCAUCACAACACAGAUAAAUCAAGUGUUUUGACUCUAAUAUCAAUGUGUCUGACUACUACUUAGUGAUUUUAAGUAAAGAUGUAAAACAUAAUAGAGUCAUGUAAGUACAACUUAUUUAAUACAUGUUAGAUUGACUUUAACAUAUUAACUAAUCAUAACCUUAGCAGAAUACAAAUACAUAAAGUUAUAUUUACUAAAUAAUAUAAUAUUUGUUAACAGUACUCAUAAAACUUUAAGUGAUAUGAAAUCUUAUUGACAUGAGUUAGUACCACUUGUAUGAGUUCUACUGACGGUUGGAGAUGUUUGAGUAGCCACUAAUCAAUUCAUUUAAUGAGUUAGGCAGUUACUUUUUACAGUGUAACCAUGGUAGAAAGGCCAUAGGAGAAAAGUUAACCCUUACCUUAACCCCAACCUUUACAAAUACCAACACUACCAAUC